UGGUGGUUGCUAUGUAGCUGUUUAGGUGUUCAUGUGGUUUCUAAGGAAUUGCUAUUUGGUUGUCUAUGUGUUUAGGUGGUUGCUAGGCAGUUGCUAUGUGGUUGUUUACGUGUUCAGGUGGUUGCUAAGGAAUUGCUAUGCGGUUGUCUAGGUGUUCAGGUGGUUGCUAUGUAGCUGUUUAGGUGUUCAUGCGGUUUCUAAGGAAUUGCUAUUUGGUUGUCUAUGUGUUUAGGUGGUUGCUAGGGAGUUGCUAUGUGGUUGUUUACGUGUUCAGGUGGUUGCUAAGGAAUUGCUAUGCGGUUGUCUAGGUGUUCAGGUGGUUGCUAGGGAGUUGCUAUGUGGUUGUUUACGUGUUCAGGUGGUUGCUAAGGAAUUGUUAUGUGGUUGUCUAGGUGUUCAGGUGGUUGCUAGGGAGUUGCUAUGUGGUUGUUUACGUGUUC